GAUCAUGGCUCAGGAUGAGCGCUGGCGACAGGCUUAACACAUGCAAGUCGAGGGGCAGCACAGGUAGCAAUACCGGGUGGCGACCGGCGCACGGGUGAGUAACGCGUAUGCAACUUGCCUAUCAGAGGGGGAUAACCCGGCGAAAGUCGGACUAAUACCGCAUGAAGCAGGGGCCCCGCAUGGGGAUAUUUGCUAAAGAUUCAUCGCUGAUAGAUAGGCAUGCGUU
rnacentral:rRNA from 1 species